AAUUUGUCCUCGGUCCAGCUGGGUGCGGCUGCUUAGAUCACGUUGUGUAUGAGGCUGGGAACUAAAAGCAGGGCUUUAUUUGAGGUGCUCGUCACAUCAGCAGAACAGGAAUGAGUAAACUGAUACUGAUUUAAAAGUUAACCCUCUUUUUCGUGUGAGCAGUAAACCAACGUUUUCCUGAAAACAGUAGCUCUGAAACUGUCUAUUUUUUCCCUUGAAAUUGCAUUAGCAACAUUAAUUGAACCAAACUGCUACUCUGAUGUCAGUAAGUAAAUAUUUUCAGAACUCUUUUAUCAAUGAAAAAGCUGAAGCAGAGGGCUGAACUGCCUGACCAAAAACUACAGAACAGAUAGGGUUCAGCUCUGAAAUUAGCAAACAAGCCUUUCUUUCCUAAUUAUGUGUUCGUAAUUCUUGCAAAAAAAAAAAAAAAGACUAUUUUCCUCAUUCCAGUUCACUUUCUUAUAGAUAAAUCAGAUCACAGAUGACUCUAUCUGGAUUCCUAACUGGUGCCUCACAGCAACAAAACUGAUGUCUCCUCCCCAUAUUUAAAAAAAAAGAAAAAGGUCCAGAAAGUACUUUAUUUGAAUCAUCUUCCUGGAUAUUUAUUCCAUGAAUUUGGUCAUGCAGGUAAAAUGUUUUGGCUCCAUGUUUCCUAGAUGUUCCUGAUUUCUAGAUUAUAUGCUAUUCUUUAGUUGUAACUUCACAUUAAUAGAGUUUAUAUUAAUCCUUGAUAAGGUUUAUCAUCUCUAUUUUGUAAUCUCAACAUUUCCUCUUUCCCAGAAAACUGUCACCUUGCUCCUUACCCGCUCAGCGUGAUUUUGGGUAACACAAUGUCCUGUAACACUCCGGUGUGAUCCCCCUUUUGUUGUGUUUGUGAUUCCUUACACACGGCUGAGCUUUAUGUUCGCCUCUGGCUGUUGCACUGCGAAUGUAUUGUAGGUGCUGUGACUGGGUCAUGAGCAGCUUUGUUUGCUAAAGGUAGAACUGGGUACGUCCCGUCAUCGUUUAGGUCAACUGGGUUUCGUUCAUCCAUCGGGAAUGUGCGGCGCUGAAACGAGCAGGUGGACGUUUGUGAGCAUAUGACUGAUGAGCAGUACAGCGCGUUCACUUGCCGGCCGGAGACUCGUCAGAGUGACAAGUUGGAGCCGUAGAACAUAGAGAUGACUCAUGGCUGGAGCUUUAUGUAAAUGAGGAACCUCUUCUGUUGCACCCUGUUGUACCAAUGAGGCCACGUAAAGUUCACGUCAGCGACGUUGUGUUCUCAUGUCCCCCAGUCUUUGAGGCAGGGCAGGGAUGUGGGGUAAGGGAGGCGUAGUUCCCCCUGAGAGGGCAACAGGUCAGAACUGGUGGUGAAUGUGAAUGUGAAUGUGAAACCCCUGGAACUGAAGGUUCCUUUCCAGCAGCAAUGCCUGGAGAAAGUUUGCUGUUGCCUUUUGCUGUCAAUUGAAAAAGUGAUCGAGCCUCUUGCCACUGACUAAAUUCUGAGGGGGAGCCAGAUAAGAGGGAAGCAGUGAAGUUAGGGGAAGCUGUGAAUUCAAGCGAAGCAUUCUCUCCCUGGCAAUCAAUCAGCUUCAGUAAGAUUUAUGGGUCAUCUAUGAUGUGACUAAUAAACUCGUUUAGCUUACCCAAAGCACAAGAAAGAGUCCUGCUGCUCAGCGGGAUCACACUGGGUAUCCUCUCCGAAUGGGCUCGUGUAGGCAGCGUGUCCCAGGCAAGAGCAAUGAGGAGGAGUGGAAGCGUGAAAAAGCAAUGCAGUUGAAUUGUGUCUACCCAAAGCCACAGACAAUAUUAUUCCAGGUGAGGGGCCAAAUUCUCUGACUCACCCUCACAAAAAUCAUGCUGAAGUUUACUGAAGACCAUGGAAUUAAUCUAAGGUGAAACUAAUAUGAGAAGGAAGAAUGCCAACCUCCAAAACGUUGACCUCCCUAGCUGUCGUAUUUCCAGGGUGCCGUGACUCACGUGUGUGUAUUUUCCUGGCAGAUACAGCAUGCCCCGAAUACUGCAGGUGACUGCAGAGAGCCGAAAGGUGUGAAAAAGUCGACAAACUGGAAAGGAUUUGUCUUGUGUUAGAUGUGUUGUUUAAAAUCAGAAGCAAGAUUUAAUUGACUCUAGUGGGAGUUUUGCUUAAGUAAGGACUUAGGAGCUGAAAUGGGACAUGAAACAAAAAUCUACCUUGCUAGCCCAGAGCUCACAGAAGAGCGACUCCCUUUAUUUACUCUAUGUAAUUCUGUUCAGACAGAUGCAAGGAACUUCCCUCAAGUCAUUUCUGAGCCCACAUCAGUUUUUCUCAGUAUUCAGCACGUUUCUUUUUUCUGUAUGAUUCUGUUCCUUUAUAUGUAGAUAUUAUCUGACUGAGACACUAUACAAAAUUUUUCUCAUCUUUUACAGUCAUCCUAAUUUGAUAAUGCUCAGUACACUUAGUUUAUUUACCUUUGUCUCAUUUUUUUCCUUUUCUAAUUGGUUCAGACAUCCACAUGUGGCAACCAGUCCUACCUAUUCUAGCCUUACUCGUUCUAGUAUUGCAGCUCCAGAGUGAACAUGUGCUUUGACUUCCAGAGAAGUCUGCAGUAAACUUCCCAGACAGGUGAUGGAUUGAUUCACUUCUCAUGCAGUGUAAAGGUCAGUCUUAUGAUGAGAAGAGUUCCUCCAUGAACUAAGUCCUUCAUGUAUUUUUGCUCUUUCCAUCGCCUAUUCUCCGCUCUGUCCCACAAUGUGAGGGCUGAUAAUUACGCUCUUUUCAAUGGCGCAUCUCCCAAUCCAUUGAAGGUAGGACUUUUUUCUCAGCAGAGAGCUGACUCAUAAGGUGUGCUGCCUUCUAUCUUUAGAAAAAGUGAGUCACUAAUGCAUUUUUCAUUAUACAUUCAAGUACCAUAGAAUGAAAUUUUGUCCUACCAGUCUAGUCCUGAGGUAGGAUUUGGAAGUCUUUAUGAUUUGGUGUUUUAGUUAUGUCUCAGUGAGGCUCUGUGAGAUACAAUAGAAGCUGUACUAGGAGCUGGGUUUUAUUAUAUGGUAUGAACAUUCCAAUUAACUUCAGUAGUGCCGUGGUUUCACUCUUUGUGUGCUUCCCUGGCUACAAAACCACAAAACUCUCUUUACACCUGCAUCAUGGCAUGCUCAGCGUCUCUUUUCACCCAACACAAAUAGUUUACAGUUGUUUUUCAGAGCUGUGUGAAAGCUGAGGAGGCUGGGACAUCACUAAAAUAAUAUGAAUCCCAUUGGUACUAUUGCAUUAAUAGAAAUAAUCCUUCUUUUCAAGCAACACUAAUUUGAUGAUCUUUCAGACACCCAGUGAAUAUUCACCAGUUCUCACGGUGGCCCAUAACAGAAAGCUAAACGCUGAUAUUUCUGUUUGAUAAACAAGGGAAUUAAGGUUGAGGAAGAUUAAGCUGUGGUGGGGAAGCAAUGGAAGUGUUGUGCAUGGAACCCAGGAGUCCUGCACUUUUGUUUUUUUCCAAUCCAACAAUAUAUUGUAUAAAAAAUGUUGUUGUAUUUAUGGUCACUGCUUUUUGACUUUGAGUGAUGUUAAUGUGGAUGAGCAUCUGGCAGAACCUGUGUAGAGCUGCAACGUAGUCUGCAGUUCACAGGAGGGUACCAGCUUUUGCCUGCCCGUGUUGUACUCUGUUAAAUCAGCUUUGCAGGGCAUUUUGAGUGAGGGGGUGGGGUCUGAAUGUCUCCGGUGCUGGCAGGAGCUGUUAUUUAGAACUGUAUGACAAAAAUGCAAAAAAGGAUGCUGUUAGGGUGGUUGCUUUGUUCUUCGUUACACAAAAGUGGAUAUGCUGCAAUGACGAGUUUGUAAAUCGUAGUUAGUUCCGUUCUCACACCACCCAAUAACCUCACAGUCCGUCAACUUCCUGGAGACCUUGGGAAGCUAUAAUUUGUGAUAAAAAAUGGGAGUUAGAAUGUUACGUGUAUAUCAAAGCUGAAAAUUUGCGGCUGGCUGACCUUUUCAUUUUGAGCACAUGCACUCAUUUCCUUUAUGUUGCUUACUGUUUCCCUCUCAAGCUUGGCAUAAUAGGAAAUCCUCCAUGAUUGUUCUCCUUAAUCAGUGGCUCCAUUGUGCCGGGCCCGUUCCUUUCCACCAGCAUGCAGAGGGUCUUGCCGAGCUCGGAAUGGGGCAUCGCUCCCUGUGCUCUCAAGCAUCAGUGCCCCAGAAACUCAGACGUUUCAGUUCAGCUGCCACGGGUGAGAGAAAACACGAGCGGUGUGUGCUAAAUUCAGAAUGCUGUCGGAAUAAGGAAACAGCCCACUGAUUUUUAGAAAGAAAAAGAAAAGCGAGCACUGAGUGGAUUUUACAGUGAUAUUUCCCUGUGUUUGUGACUAGGCUUUGAUGAAUAAUGAAAAUGAAGAGGUUGUACAUUUAGAUUUUCCUUUGUUUCCGUAUGUGGGGUAAUGCCAUUUGUUGUCAUGACGGUGCUAAUAUUCACAAAGCCAUCUGACAAUUAUAAAGAAGGUGCACAAAUCUCUCCGGCAAGAAACUUCUCCAGGAAUAUAUUUGGAAAUGCCUACUAAUUAUGAUGAGCACAUCGUUUUUCAUUCUCUGAUUAAUUUCUCUUUGUCAUCCAGUCAAGUGACAGAAAUUCUAUGUUGUGACCACCCACCGCAAACCGCAGGGGGUGUAGCAUUUGUAUACACGCUUCUUGCUAAAAAUUAGGCAAGUCCUUAGAAAUAAAAGAUGUAUUAGCAAUAGCUUAAAGCAGUUUGUGAAAUAAACGAAGGGCUAAAAAAGAUCAUU